rnacentral:lncRNA from 1 species
UUUUACAUAUAUUAUUUCUAAUCAUCAUAAAAGCUUUGCAACCAGACUUAGCAGCUUUAUUGCAAAAGUGAAGAACCUGAAAGCCAGAGCAUUUAUGAAACUUUUCCAAUUAUUCCAGGCAGUGAGAAAUUGUAGUAGACAUGUUUUAUGGCACCUGCUUGCCAUGCUUCUAAGAGGCGUUAUUCCUCCUUGUUGAGGAGUAACAGCCCUGGUUUGUACCAUAUGACCCCAUCCCCAUCUUCUAGUCAAGUGAUCUAAGGAUCCACAAUCCUUAGCUUGGUAAGUGCCCUCUUGCUAACCUAAAAACGAAAAAGUCAACAGCUUGCUUUAUAGGGAAUUCCAGAAGCAUUUCCAUAAACUUAUUAAGCCAAUGAUCACCCUUAUUCCUACUAUCAUUUAGUAUUGUUAUAGUAGCACUAGACAAAGGAGUCUUACAAGAAAAAGAAAUUAGAAAUAAAAAAAACUAGAAAGGAGGCAUAUUAACUAUACCUUCUAAGUAAUAUGAUUGUAUAUUUGGAAAAACCAAGUGAUUCAACUAAAAAAUUUACAAAAAUAAAAGAAUUCAUAAUGACAGAUUCUGAGAAAGAAGAACAUUGCGGUGGGACUAGACCAAUUUUUGUAAAAUGUAUUAAGCUACAAUAACUUAAAGACUGUGGUGCUGGUAUAGAUAGUUAAAUGGAAAAAAAUGGGACAUCCAAAAAUAAAUGUGGAAGGAGUAUAAGAUAUAUAUACAUAUCUUAUAUAUAUAUAUUUCACAUAAGAUAAUGUUGGCAUUGCAUAUCACAAUAAACACUGGAGCAUUCAAUAAAUCUUACCAUUAGGCAAAGAAAUGGAGUUGAAUUUAUAUCUUAAGCCUUAUCCAAAAAUAAAUCCUUGGGGGCAACAAUGAUUUAAAUGUGAAAAAUAAAAUCAAAAAAGUAUUGGAAGAAUAUCUAAGGUUAUUUAAGAUAAUUUCUACAUUAGAAAGUCUUUUCAAGUAUAAUAUAAAGCACAGAAGCCAUAAGAUAACUAACUUUAAAUACUAAAAAACAAAGUUUAUGCAUAACAAGAAAAUCCAUUGUAAGCAAAGUCAAAUGACAAAUGAAAAUCUGGAGAAGAUAUUUCACAUGUAUCACAAACCAAGACUAUUUUCCCUAUUGAAUAGAGAGCAUCUACAAAUAAACAAGAAAGCAAUGACCAGCGAUGGGUAAAGGAUAAGGACAGAUCACAGAAAAGUAAGCACAAGUGCUUUUAAAAUUUAAGAAAAAGAUAUCAGACUUCCCUCCUGAUGAAAAUUAAAUGGAAAACAUGAUAUAUCAUAUUAUUGAAGAUAAAGAAGCUUGAUCAAAACUGGCUAUAAAGGGUUUGAGAAAGCAGUUGGUUUUAUACUUUUUGGUGGAAUGAUAAAUUGUUAGAUACAACUUCUGUGAAGGCCAAUCUAUAAAAAAAACUUAAAUGCAUGUAUCCUUUGACUAAGCAAUUCCACUUAAGGAAUUUUCCUACAUUUGUGUUUUUCAUUUGAGCAAAAUGACUGACAUAAGUAUAGUUAUUGCAUCAAUACUUAUAAUAGCAGAGGACUGGAAACAACUUAAUUGUCAUCAAUAGGAGACUGAAUCAGUAUAUUAUGGUACUCCAUGGAAUAUACUGUGCAACUUGUUAAAAGAAUGAAGAAGUUCUGCAGUGGUAAUGGAACAAAAUCCAAGAUGCAUUAUUAAAUAAAGCAAAAUGAGAACAGUAUGUCUAACAUGCUCUCCUUUGUAUAAAACAAACACACACACACACACACACAGACACACACACACAAAUGCAUAGCUUAUCUUUGUUGUAAGGUUGUUUCCAGGGGGGGGUUUUGCUGUGUGAGAAACAGGAAAAAGAGACUUUCUUUUCAGUGCAAAUCCUUUUAUGUUUUAUCAUUUUCAGGCUUUGCCUGUUCCAUAAAAAUAAAAUUAACCAUAUAAAUGUCAGGAAUGAUCUUUUCUUUUCUUUUUUUCUUUCUUUCUUUUUUUUUUUUUUUUUUUGAGACAGAGCUGUCUCCUCCAGACUGGAGUGCAACUCCGUCUCAAAAAAACAAAACCAACCAACCAAACAAACAAAAAACUGUUGGUUGCAUUUCAAAAAUCUAACUGAAAAGACUUUGUGCACAAGCAACUGCAUGGAAUUUCAUUUAUCCAUCUUGGAUAAAAAGCCUAGUUGGUCCUGCUAUGAUUUGACUCUGUGUUUCUUCAGGCUCUAAGUAUUCCAAAAUGAUGCAUUAGCUCCCUGGACUCUCUGUGCAUCAGAGACCUAGGAUGUGCUAUUUAAAUCAUCUGGCAAAUUGAUGUGUGGGGGAAUGGAACUCUUUCCCCCAUUUUUUAAAAAAAAUUAAAUUUUGUAAUGGUGGCACAUUGUAUAAUAAGCACAUAUGAAGAUUGGAGCUAUCAUUUUGGAAAUGACCUUAAAUAGAAGGAGGAAAUGAUAGACUCAUAGUACCAUCCAACAGUGUGGGUUCAGCCUAUUUUCCAUUCCUACCACAGAGCUGCUGGGUGACUCUGAGUAAGCAGUUUCAUCCAAUUUUACUGUAAGCCUUUGCAUUCCUAAUAGAGGCACAAUAGUAUUGGUACCUGUCUUAUUCAGAGAGUGGCAGAUUAAGAAGACUUUGGGUGAUUUCUAACUUCUAGCAGCCGUACACACGAAAAAGUCUGUACAAUAUAGUGUGUUUUUGUACUCAGAUAUUUCAUGUGAUGGCUCUAUUUUUUGAAGCCAUAGAAUAAUUCUUCCUUAAGUAAAACAGCAAACUAGCUCCUUGAUGUCACUGAGUUUGUGAAUUAUUUUCGUUCAUUUUGAUUAGUACAUAGGCCUCACAAGCUAUUAAGGAGAAAAAAGAAGACAGGUUUUCUUAUUCUUAUUUUAAUGAUGAGAUAUAUACAGUUGAAAGGAAUUAUGUAAGGCCGGGUGUGGUGGCUCACACCUGUAAUCUCAGCACUUUGGGAGGCCAAGGGGGGCGGAUCAUGAGGUCAGGAGUUUGAGACCAGCCUGGCCAACAUGGUGAAACCCCAUCUCUACUAAAAAUACAAAGAUUAGCUGGGCAUGGCGGGCACCUGUAAUUCCAGCUACUUGGGAGGCUGAGGCAGGAGAAUCACUUGAACCCGGGAGGUGGAGGUUAUAGUGAGCCGAGAUUGUGC